rnacentral:rRNA from 1 species
UACGUAGGGGGCAAGCGUUGUCCGGAUUCAUUGGGCGUAAAGAGCUCGUAGGCGGUUCGGUAAGUCAGGUGUAAAAACUCCAGGCUCAACUUGGAGAGGCCACCUGAUACUGCCGUGACUAGAGUCCGGUAGAGGAGCAUGGAAUUCCUGGUGUAGCGGUGGAAUGCGCAGAUAUCAGGAGGAACACCAGCGGCGAAGGCGGCGCUCUGGGCUGGAACUGACGCUGAGGAGCGAAAGCGUGGGGAGCAAACAGG